GAUAUUCCUAUAGAAGAAUUAUGGAGCAGCGGGCGCCAUCGCUGCUGGAGCUGAGCACCGAGUGCGCUGUGCGCAAUAUCCAGCGGUUGCCAUCGCUCGGAUCCAUUCCAGAUCACAUCGUGCUUCACUUAUUCCGCAGAACUCUAGAGUGUGGGAAGCUAACCGAGGGAGUGUUACAAUUGUUCCUGGCCACGGGUCACAAACAAAUCCAGGACUUUGUGGCGCAACACAUCCAUCCAGUUUUAGAGCCUAUUCUCCCAACAAGAUGCUCAGAUCGGUGACUAGUAUUUUGUAUAACCGACGGAACUAUUUUUCUUGCUUGUAUAAAAAGAGUUUUGUUGAUGUGAAUCAAUCAGAAGAAAAAAAUUCAUAUCAAGAAGGUAAUAAUUACUUUUCAACUUUUUAAUUUUGUAUGGAUAUUUGUAAAUUAUAUUAUAUUUUAUUCUCCAAGUA